rnacentral:piRNA from 1 species
AUGCAUCUCGUUGAGUUGUGUCUUAUGUGUC